AUUGAACGCUGGCGGCAUGCCUUACACAUGCAAGUCGAACGGUAACGGGUCCUUCGGGAUGCCGACGAGUGGCGAACGGGUGAGUAAUAUAUCGGAACGUGCCCAGUAGUGGGGGAUAACUGCUCGAAAGAGCAGCUAAUACCGCAUACGACCUGAGGGUGAAAGGGGGGGAUCGCAAGACCUCUCGCUAUUGGAGCGGCCGAUAUCAGAUUAGCUAGUUGGUGGAGUAAAGGCCUACCAAGGCAACGAUCUGUAGUUGGUCUGAGAGGACGACAGGCCACACUGGGACUGAGACACGGCCCAGACUCCUACGGGAGGCAGCAGUGGGGAAUUUUGGACAAUGGUCGCAAGCCUGAUCCAGCAAUGCCGCGUGCAGGAAGAAGGCCUUCGGGUUGUAAACUGCUUUUGUCAGGGAAGAAAUCUUCUGGGCUAAUACCCCGGGAGGAUGACGGUACCUGAAGAAUAAGCACCGGCUAACUACGUGCCAGCCGCCGCCGUAA
rnacentral:rRNA from 1 species